rnacentral:rRNA from 1 species
GGUUAAGCGACUAAGCGUACACGGUGGAUGCCCUGGCAGUCAGAGGCGAUGAAGGGCGUGCUAAUCUGCGAUAAGCGCCGGUAAGGUGAUAUGAACCGUUAUAACCGGCGAUACCCGAAUGGGGAAACCCAGUGUGACUCGUCACACUAUCAUUAACUGAAUCCAUAGGUUAAUGAGGCGAACCGGGGGAACUGAAACAUCUAAGUACCCCGAGGAAAAGAAAUCAACCGAGAUUCCCCCAGUAGCGGCGAGCGAACGGGGAGGAGCCCAGAGCCUGAAUCAGCAUGUGUGUUAGUGGAAGCGUCUGGAAAGGCGCGCGAUACAGGGUGACAGCCCCGUACACAAAAGCGCAUGUGCUGUGAGCUCGAUGAGUAGGGCGGGACACGUGGUAUCCUGUCUGAAUAUGGGGGGACCAUCCUCCAAGGCUAAAUACUCCUGACUGACCGAUAGUGAACCAGUACCGUGAGGGAAAGGCGAAAAGAACCCCGGCGAGGGGAGUGAAAAAGAACCUGAAACCGUGUACGUACAAGCAGUGGGAGCACCCUUUGGGGUGUGACUGCGUACCUUUUGUAUAAUGGGUCAGCGACUUAUAUUCUGUAGCAAGGUUAACCGUAUAGGGGAGCCGUAGGGAAACCGAGUCUUAACCGGGCGUUAAGUUGCAGGGUAUAGACCCGAAACCCGGUGAUCUAGCCAUGGGCAGGUUGAAGGUUGGGUAACACUAACUGGAGGACCGAACCGACUAAUGUUGAAAAAUUAGCGGAUGACCUGUGGCUGGGGGUGAAAGGCCAAUCAAACCGGGAGAUAGCUGGUUCUCCCCGAAAGCUAUUUAGGUAGCGCCUCGUGAAUUCAUCUCCGGGGGUAGAGCACUGUUUCGGCUAGGGGGCCAUCCCGGCUUACCAACCCGAUGCAAACUGCGAAUACCGGAGAAUGUUAUCACGGGAGACACACGGCGGGUGCUAACGUCCGUCGUGAAGAGGGAAACAACCCAGACCGCCAGCUAAGGUCCCAAAGUCAUGGUUAAGUGGGAAACGAUGUGGGAAGGCCCAGACAGCCAGGAUGUUGGCUUAGAAGCAGCCAUCAUUUAAAGAAAGCGUAAUAGCUCACUGGUCGAGUCGGCCUGCGCGGAAGAUGUAACGGGGCUAAACCAUGCACCGAAGCUGCGGCAGCGACGCUUAUGCGUUGUUGGGUAGGGGAGCGUUCUGUAAGCCUGCGAAGGUGGCCUGUGAGGGUUGCUGGAGGUAUCAGAAGUGCGAAUGCUGACAUAAGUAACGAUAAAGCGGGUGAAAAGCCCGCUCGCCGGAAGACCAAGGGUUCCUGUCCAACGUUAAUCGGGGCAGGGUGAGUCGACCCCUAAGGCGAGGCCGAAAGGCGUAGUCGAUGGGAAACGGGUUAAUAUUCCCGUACUUGGUGUUACUGCGAAGGGGGGACGGAGAAGGCUAUGUUGGCCGGGCGACGGUUGUCCCGGUUUAAGCGUGUAGGUGUGUGUUCCAGGUAAAUCCGGUUCACUUUAACACUGAGGCGUGACGACGAGGCACUACGGUGCUGAAGCAACAAAUGCCCUGCUUCCAGGAAAAGCCUCUAAGCAUCAGGUAACAUCAAAUCGUACCCCAAACCGACACAGGUGGUCAGGUAGAGAAUACCAAGGCGCUUGAGAGAACUCGGGUGAAGGAACUAGGCAAAAUGGUGCCGUAACUUCGGGAGAAGGCACGCUGACACGUAGGUGAAGUGAUUUACUCAUGGAGCUGAAGUCAGUCGAAGAUACCAGCUGGCUGCAACUGUUUAUUAAAAACACAGCACUGUGCAAACACGAAAGUGGACGUAUACGGUGUGACGCCUGCCCGGUGCCGGAAGGUUAAUUGAUGGGGUCAGCGCAAGCGAAGCUCCUGAUCGAAGCCCCGGUAAACGGCGGCCGUAACUAUAACGGUCCUAAGGUAGCGAAAUUCCUUGUCGGGUAAGUUCCGACCUGCACGAAUGGCGUAAUGAUGGCCAGGCUGUCUCCACCCGAGACUCAGUGAAAUUGAACUCGCUGUGAAGAUGCAGUGUACCCGCGGCAAGACGGAAAGACCCCGUGAACCUUUACUAUAGCUUGACACUGAACAUUGAGCCUUGAUGUGUAGGAUAGGUGGGAGGCUUUGAAGCGUGGACGCCAGUCUGCGUGGAGCCGACCUUGAAAUACCACCCUUUAAUGUUUGAUGUUCUAACGUGGACCCGUAAUCCGGGUUGCGGACAGUGUCUGGUGGGUAGUUUGACUGGGGCGGUCUCCUCCUAAAGAGUAACGGAGGAGCACGAAGGUUGGCUAAUCCUGGUCGGACAUCAGGAGGUUAGUGCAAUGGCAUAAGCCAGCUUGACUGCGAGCGUGACGGCGCGAGCAGGUGCGAAAGCAGGUCAUAGUGAUCCGGUGGUUCUGAAUGGAAGGGCCAUCGCUCAACGGAUAAAAGGUACUCCGGGGAUAACAGGCUGAUACCGCCCAAGAGUUCAUAUCGACGGCGGUGUUUGGCACCUCGAUGUCGGCUCAUCACAUCCUGGGGCUGAAGUAGGUCCCAAGGGUAUGGCUGUUCGCCAUUUAAAGUGGUACGCGAGCUGGGUUUAGAACGUCGUGAGACAGUUCGGUCCCUAUCUGCCGUGGGCGCUGGAGAACUGAGGGGGGCUGCUCCUAGUACGAGAGGACCGGAGUGGACGCAUCACUGGUGUUCGGGUUGUCAUGCCAAUGGCACUGCCCGGUAGCUAAAUGCGGAAGAGAUAAGUGCUGAAAGCAUCUAAGCACGAAACUUGCCCCGAGAUGAGUUCUCCCUGAGACUUAGAGUCUCCUGAAGGAACGUUGAAGACGACGACGUUGAUAGGCCGGGUGUGUAAGCGCAGCGAUGCGUUGAGCUAACCGGUACUAAUGAACCGUGAGGCUUAACCUU